UACGGGGGGGGCAAGCGUUGCUCGGAAUCACUGGGCGUAAAGCGCACGUAGGCGGCUUUUUAAGUCAGGGGUGAAAUCCUGGAGCUCAACUCCAGAACUGCCUUUGAUACUGAGAAGCUUGAGUUCGGGAGAGGUGAGUGGAACUGCGAGUGUAGAGGUGAAAUUCGUAGAUAUUCGCAAGAACACCAGUGGCGAAGGCGGCUCACUGGCCCGAUACUGACGCUGAGGUGCGAAAGCGUGGGGAGCAAACAGG
rnacentral:rRNA from 1 species